rnacentral:rRNA from 1 species
CGAGCACGCGCGUGUGGCAUAUCAAUAAGCGGAGGAAAAGAAACUAACAAGGAUUCCCUUAGUAACGGCGAGUGAAGCGGGAAGAGCUCAAAUUUGAAAUCUUCAAGGUUCUACCUUGACGAAUUGUAGUUUAUAGAAGUGUUUUCUGUUAGUGGAGUGGUAAAAGUUCUUUGGAAUAGGACAUCAUAGAGGGUGAGAAUCCCGUAUUUGGUCAUUCCUCCUAGCGUUGUGAUACACUUUCAACGAGUCGGAUUGUUUGGGAAUGCAGUCCAAAAUGGGUGGUAAAUUUCAUCUAAAGCUAAAUAUUGGCGAGAGACCGAUAGCGAACAAGUACCGUGAGGGAAAGAUGAAAAGAACUUUGAAAAGAGAGUUAAACAGUACGUGAAAUUGUCAAAAGGGAAGCGUUUGACACCAGUGUUGUUUUUCCGAAAAUCAAUUACGAAUGUUUUAUUUUUGAGGAGUUAUGACUUCAUCGGCUUGCUCCUUUCUUUACGAAACUUUCUUAAUGCACUUUUCGGUUAACAAGUCUACAUCAAUUUCUUUUGUUGUAAAAGGGUAUGAGGAAGGUGGCUUUCUUUUCGGAGAAAGUGUUUAUAGCCUUGUGCCUCUGCAAUCGGAGAGAUUGAGGUCUGCAGCGUAGAUCCUUCGGGGUUAGAUACAUUUGUGCUAAGUUAUAGCUUUUCAUAGACAACUUGUUGACUAUGUUAAGUCUUGUAGCUUACUCGCUUACUGCUAUUUUACCUACGCUUAGGAUGUUGAUGUGAUACUGCGAGC